rnacentral:rRNA from 1 species
AGUGGCGGACGGGUGAGUAACGCGUGAACAAUCUGUCCUGCAAAGGGGGAUACUAACUGGAAACAGUUGCUAAUACCGCAUAGGACCACGGAUUCGCAUGGAUCUGCGGUGAAAGCAGCGAUGCGAUGCAGGGUGAGUUCGCGUCCGAUUAGGCAGUUGGUGAGGUAACGGCCCACCAAACGGACGAUCGGUAGCCGACCUGAGAGGGUGAUCGGCCACAUUGGGACUGAGACACGGCCCAGACUCCUACGGGAGGCAGCAGUGGGGAAUAUUGGGCAAUGGGCGAAAGCCUGACCCAGCAACGCCGCGUGAGGGAAGAAGGUUUUCGGAUUGUAAACCUCUGUCCUUGGUGACGAAUAGAUGACGGUAGCCAAGGAGGAAGCCCCGGCUAACUACGUGCCAGCAGCCGCGGUAAUACGUAGGGGGCGAGCGUUGUCCGGAAUGACUGGGCGUAAAGGGCGUGUAGGCGGCGCUGUAAGUCCGGAGUGAAAGUCCUGCUUUCAAGGUGGGAAUUGCUUUGGAGACUGCAGAGCUUGAGUACGGAAGAGGUAAGUGGAAUUCCCGGUGUAACGGUGAAAUGCGUAGAGAUCGGGAGGAACACCAGUGGCGAAGGCGACUUACUGGGCCGUAACUGACGCUGAGGCGCGAAAGCGUGGGGAGCGAACAGGAUUAGAUACCCUGGUAGUCCACGCGGUAAACGAUGAAUGCUAGGUGUAGGGGGUAUCGACCCCUCCUGCGCCGGGAGUCAAACACAAUAAGCAUUCCCCCUGGGGAGUACGGGCCGCAAGGUUGAAAUUCAAAGGAAUUGACGGGGGCCCGCACAAGCAGCGGAGCAUGUGGUUUAAUUAGACGCAACGCGAAGAACCUUACCAGGUCUUGACAUUGAUGCAAGCUUGUAGAGAUACAAGGUGACUUCGGUCAGCUGAAAACAGGUGGUGCAUGGUUGUCGUCAGCUCGUGUCGUGAGAUGUUGGGUUAAGUCCCGCAACGAGCGCAACCCUUAUUGUCAGUUACUAACAGGCAAUGCUGAGGACUCUGACGAGACCGCCGGGGACAACUCGGAGGAAGGUGGGGACGACGUCAAAUCAUCAUGCCCCUUAUGACCUGGGCUACACACGUGCUACAAUGGUGACUACAAAGAGCAGCGAAACCGUAAGGUCAAGCGAAUCUCACAAAAGUCAUCUCAGUUCGGAAUGUGGGCUGCAACCCGCCCACACGAAGUUGGAGUUGCUAGUAAUCGCGAAUCAGCAUGUCGCG